rnacentral:rRNA from 1 species
UAGAGUUUGAUCCUGGCUCAGGACGAACGCUGGCGGCGUGCCUAAUACAUGCAAGUCGAGCGAAUGGAUGGGAGCUUGCUCCCUGAAGUUAGCGGCGGACGGGUGAGUAACACGUGGGCAACCUGCCUGUAAGAUCGGGAUAACUUCGGGAAACCGGAGCUAAUACCGGAUAAUACUUUUCCUUGCAUGAGGAAAAGUUGAAAGAUGGCUUCGGCUAUCACUUACAGAUGGGCCCGCGGCGCAUUAGCUAGUUGGUGAGGUAACGGCUCACCAAGGCAACGAUGCGUAGCCGACCUGAGAGGGUGAUCGGCCACACUGGGACUGAGACACGGCCCAGACUCCUACGGGAGGCAGCAGUAGGGAAUCUUCCGCAAUGGACGAAAGUCUGACGGAGCAACGCCGCGUGAGCGAUGAAGGCCUUCGGGUCGUAAAGCUCUGUUGUUAGGGAAGAACAAGUACCGUUCGAAUAGGGCGGUACCUUGACGGUACCUAACCAGAAAGCCACGGCUAACUACGUGCCAGCAGCCGCGGUAAUA